CCUACGGUAGGCAGCAGUGAGGAAUAUUGGUCAAUGGGCGUAAGCCUGAACCAGCCAAGUCGCGCGAGGGAUGAAGGUUCUAUGGAUCGUAAACCACUUUUAUAAGGGAAUAAAGUGCGGGACGUGUCCCGUUUUGUAUGUACCUUAUGAAUAAGGAUCGGCUAACUCCGUGCCAGCAGCCGCGGUAAUACGUAGGAUCCGAGCGUUAUCCGGAUUUCUUGUGUUUAAAGGGUGCGUAGGCGGCCUUUUAAGUCAGCGGUGAAAGUCUGUGGCUCAACCCUAGAAUUGCCGUUGAAACUGGGAGGCUUGAGGAUGUUUGAGGCAGGCGGAAUGCGUGGUGUAGCGGUGAAAUGCUUAGAUAUCACGCAGAACCCCGAUUGCGAAGGCAGCCGGCCAAGCCAUGACUGACGCUGAUGCACGAAAGCGUGGGGAUCAAACAGGAUUAGAUACCCCAGUAGUC
rnacentral:rRNA from 1 species